GCUUGUAGUCCCAGCUACUCGGGAGGCUGAGGUGGGAGGAUUGCUUGAGCCCAGGAGUUCUGGGUUGUAGUGUGCUAUGCCAAUCGGGUGUACGCACUAAGUUCGGCAUCAACAUGGUGACCUCCCAGGAGAGGGGAACCACCAGUUGCCUAAGGAGGGGUGAACUGGCCCAGGUCAGAAACAGAGCGGGUCAAAACUCCCAUGCUCAUUAGUACUGGGAUGGCCCUGUGAAUAGUCACUGCACUCCAGCCUAGGCAACAUAGCAAGACCCCAUCUCUA
ensembl:misc_RNA Metazoa_SRP Metazoan signal recognition particle RNA